UCAUAAAAUAGCCACCUUUGAAAAGCUACAGGUUUUCAGGCAUUGAUCCAGUACACUGAUGCGGCUACUGCUUCAGCUGCUAGAGAAUCCUUAGAUGGAAGGAGCAUCCCAAGUUACUUGCUUCCGGAGCAUGUAACAUCCUGCUGCCUGCGAAUUUCUUUUUCUGCACAUAAGGAUUUGAACAUCAAGUUUCAGUCGAACCGCAGCAGUGGAAAUUUGCUCAUGUUACAUUCAGUAAGCCAGAAUACCUCCAAGAUUCAGAUAUUGUAAUGAAUAGAUUCCAUAAACAGAGACCUGUUUAUGGAGGUUGGGAACAACACCUUGGAUUGGAGCAUACAACCACUACCCCAAAAAGGUCCUACUUAGGCAACAACCAGAACCGCCAUUGUUUUGAGAAGCCUGUGAGGAUUUACAACUAAAGCUGGGAAUACUUUUUACAUGUGAUGAAUG